rnacentral:rRNA from 1 species
GAUGAACGCUAGCGGGAGGCUUAACACAUGCAAGUCGAGGGGCAGCAUAGGGUAGCAAUACUCUGAUGGCGACCGGCAAACGGGUGAGUAACGCGUAUGCAACCCUACCCUGUACAGGGGGAUAACCCGGAGAAAUUCGGACUAAUAUCCCGUAAUAAUAUCCGGAGGCAUCUUUGGAUAUUUAAAGUUCCGACGGUACGGGAUGGGCAUGCGUAACAUUAACUGGUUGGUAAGGUAACGGCUUACCAAGGCUAUGAUGUUUAGGGGUCCUGAGAGGGUGGUCCCCCACACUGGUACUGAGACACGGACCAGACUCCUACGGGAGGCAGCAGUGAGGAAUAUUGGUCAAUGGGCGCAAGCCUGAACCAGCCAUCCCGCGUGCAGGAAGACGGCCCUAUGGGUUGUAAACUGCUUUUCCAGGGAGAGAAACUUACGCACGUGUUGCGUGACUGACGGUACCCUGGGAAUAAGCAUCGGCUAACUCCGUGCCAGCAGCCGCGGUAAACUGUCUACG